UAUGCAAUUGAUCCCCAAACCAACAGAGCCAUUGACAGAAAUGAACUUUUUAAAUUUUUGGAUGGCAAGCUGCUUGAUAUCAAUAAAGAUUUUCAACCAUAUUAUGGGGAAGGAGGGCGCAUUCUGCAGAUCCGGACUCCAGAGGCAGUGACCAGCAUUAAAAAGCGAGGAGAAAGUUUAGGAUACACAGAAGGGGCUCUGUUGGCUCUGGCCUUCAUCAUCAUCCUCUGCUGUAUUCCUGCCAUCUUGGUGGUCUUAGUCAGCUACAGACAGUAAGUAUUCAAGGACACUAAACAUGGAUUGUUCUUUGAAGACCUAUAGA
rnacentral:lncRNA from 1 species